rnacentral:rRNA from 1 species
UACGGAGGGUGCAAGCGUUGUCCGGAUUUAUUGGGUUUAAAGGGUGCGUAGGCGGUUCUUUAAGUCAGUGGUGAAAGCCUCCAGCUUAACUGGAGAAAUGCCAUUGAUACUGAAGAACUUGAGUACAGACGAGGUAGGCGGAAUUGACAGUGUAGCGGUGAAAUGCGUAGAUAUUGUCAAGAACACCGAUUGCGAAGGCAGCUUACUAGACUGUAACUGACGCUGAGGCACGAAAGUGCGGGGAUCAAACAGG